rnacentral:lncRNA from 1 species
ACCGGAGCUUCGAGUCCGUCCCCGGUGCUGCCUGCGCGUUCACCUGAGUCUCGCUGGAGCUCUUCUCGCCCGCCCACCUCAUCUCAACCCACUUUCCGCGGGGAGCGGCGCCAAGCUGGGCCUUCCUCGGAUCAGGCGUCCCCUGAAGUCGGCACGCCCCUCUGCGUCCCCCUUCGGUCCCGCUAGGACCCCGUCCGGGCUGCCGUCGCCUCGUCGCUAUGGCGCCCACCAUCCAGACCCAGGCCCAGCGGGAGGAUGGCCACAGGUAGGCGCCACGCUUUUCUGUUGCAGCAAGGCGGGGGAUCGGGAGAGGGUUUCUGCUGAACAACGUCACCAGCCCCCAGGCCCAAUUCCCACCGGACUCUGCCUGAGAGGUCUGGAGUGGUCUGCCGAGUCAAGUACUGCAAUAGCCUCCCUGAUAUCCCCUUCGACCCCAAGUUCAUCACCUACCCCUUCGACCAGAACAG